rnacentral:rRNA from 1 species
GAUGAACGCUGGCGGCGUGUCUAACACAUGCAAGUCGAACGAGGUAUUUUGAUUGAAGUUUUCGGAUGGAUUUCAAGAUGCCGAGUGGCGGACGGGUGAGUAACGCGUGGGUAACCUGCCUCAUACAGGGGGAUAACGGUUAGAAAUGACUGCUAAUACCGCAUAAGCGCACAGUACCGCAUGGUACGGUGUGAAAAACUCCGGUGGUAUGAGAUGGACCCGCGUCUGAUUAGCUAGUUGGUGAGGUAACGGCCCACCAAGGCGACGAUCAGUAGCCGACCUGAGAGGGUGACCGGCCACAUUGGGACUGAGACACGGCCCAGACUCCUACGGGAGGCAGCAGUGGGGGAUAUUGCACAAUGGAGGAAACUCUGAUGCAGCGACGCCGCGUGAGUGAAGAAGUAUUUCGGUAUGUAAAGCUCUAUCAGCAGGGAAGAAAAUGACGGUACCUGACUAAGAAGCCCCGGCUAACUACGUGCCAGCAGCCGCGGUAAUACGUAGGGGGCAAGCGUUAUCCGGAUUUACUGGGUGUAAAGGGAGCGUAGACGGCGACGCAAGUCUGAAGUGAAAUACCCGGGCUCAACCUGGGAACUGCUUUGGAAACUGUGUUGCUAGAGUGCUGGAGAGGUAAGCGGAAUUCCUAGUGUAGCGGUGAAAUGCGUAGAUAUUAGGAAGAACACCAGUGGCGAAGGCGGCUUACUGGACAGUAACUGACGUUGAGGCUCGAAAGCGUGGGGAGCAAACAGG